rnacentral:rRNA from 1 species
GGGUUGUGAGGUUAAGCGACUAAGCGUACACGGUGGAUGCCCUGGCAGUCAGAGGCGAUGAAGGGCGUGCUAAUCUGCGAUAAGCGCCGGUAAGGUGAUAUGAACCGUUAUAACCGGCGAUACCCGAAUGGGGAAACCCAGUGUGAUUCGUCACACUAUCAUUAACUGAAUCCAUAGGUUAAUGAGGCGAACCGGGGGAACUGAAACAUCUAAGUACCCCGAGGAAAAGAAAUCAACCGAGAUUCCCCCAGUAGCGGCGAGCGAACGGGGAGGAGCCCAGAGCCUGAAUCAGCAUGUGUGUUAGUGGAAGCGUCUGGAAAGGCGCGCGAUACAGGGUGACAGCCCCGUACACAAAAGCGCAUGUGCUGUGAGCUCGAUGAGUAGGGCGGGACACGUGGUAUCCUGUCUGAAUAUGGGGGGACCAUCCUCCAAGGCUAAAUACUCCUGACUGACCGAUAGUGAACCAGUACCGUGAGGGAAAGGCGAAAAGAACCCCGGCGAGGGGAGUGAAAAAGAACCUGAAACCGUGUACGUACAAGCAGUGGGAGCACAGGUUUACCUGUGUGACUGCGUACCUUUUGUAUAAUGGGUCAGCGACUUAUAUUCUGUAGCAAGGUUAACCGAAUAGGGGAGCCGCAGGGAAACCGAGUCUUAAUUGGGCGUUAAGUUGCAGGGUAUAGACCCGAAACCCGGUGAUCUAGCCAUGGGCAGGUUGAAGGUUGGGUAACACUAACUGGAGGACCGAACCGACUAAUGUUGAAAAAUUAGCGGAUGACCUGUGGCUGGGGGUGAAAGGCCAAUCAAACCGGGAGAUAGCUGGUUCUCCCCGAAAGCUAUUUAGGUAGCGCCUCGUGAAUUCAUCUCCGGGGGUAGAGCACUGUUUCGGCUAGGGGGCCAUCCCGGCUUACCAACCCGAUGCAAACUGCGAAUACCGGAGAAUGUUAUCACGGGAGACACACGGCGGGUGCUAACGUCCGUCGUGAAGAGGGAAACAACCCAGACCGCCAGCUAAGGUCCCAAAGUCAUGGUUAAGUGGGAAACGAUGUGGGAAGGCCCAGACAGCCAGGAUGUUGGCUUAGAAGCAGCCAUCAUUUAAAGAAAGCGUAAUAGCUCACUGGUCGAGUCGGCCUGCGCGGAAGAUGUAACGGGGCUAAACCAUGCACCGAAGCUGCGGCAGCGACGCUGAUGCGUUGUUGGGUAGGGGAGCGUUCUGUAAGCCUGUGAAGGUGUGUCGUGAGGCAUGCUGGAGGUAUCAGAAGUGCGAAUGCUGACAUAAGUAACGAUAAAGCGGGUGAAAAGCCCGCUCGCCGGAAGACCAAGGGUUCCUGUCCAACGUUAAUCGGGGCAGGGUGAGUCGACCCCUAAGGCGAGGCCGAAAGGCGUAGUCGAUGGGAAACGGGUUAAUAUUCCCGUACUUGGUGUUACUGCGAAGGGGGGACGGAGAAGGCUAUGUUGGCCGGGCGACGGUUGUCCCGGUUUAAGCGUGUAGGUGUGUGUUCCAGGUAAAUCCGGUUCACUUUAACACUGAGGCGUGAUGACGAGGCACUACGGUGCUGAAGCAACAAAUGCCCUGCUUCCAGGAAAAGCCUCUAAGCAUCAGGUAACAUCAAAUCGUACCCCAAACCGACACAGGUGGUCAGGUAGAGAAUACCAAGGCGCUUGAGAGAACUCGGGUGAAGGAACUAGGCAAAAUGGUGCCGUAACUUCGGGAGAAGGCACGCUGACACGUAGGUGAAGUGAUUUACUCAUGGAGCUGAAGUCAGUCGAAGAUACCAGCUGGCUGCAACUGUUUAUUAAAAACACAGCACUGUGCAAACACGAAAGUGGACGUAUACGGUGUGACGCCUGCCCGGUGCCGGAAGGUUAAUUGAUGGGGUCAGCGCAAGCGAAGCUCCUGAUCGAAGCCCCGGUAAACGGCGGCCGUAACUAUAACGGUCCUAAGGUAGCGAAAUUCCUUGUCGGGUAAGUUCCGACCUGCACGAAUGGCGUAAUGAUGGCCAGGCUGUCUCCACCCGAGACUCAGUGAAAUUGAACUCGCUGUGAAGAUGCAGUGUACCCGCGGCAAGACGGAAAGACCCCGUGAACCUUUACUAUAGCUUGACACUGAACAUUGAGCCUUGAUGUGUAGGAUAGGUGGGAGGCUUUGAAGUGUGGACGCCAGUCUGCAUGGAGCCGACCUUGAAAUACCACCCUUUAAUGUUUGAUGUUCUAACGUGGACCCGUAAUCCGGGUUGCGGACAGUGUCUGGUGGGUAGUUUGACUGGGGCGGUCUCCUCCUAAAGAGUAACGGAGGAGCACGAAGGUUGGCUAAUCCUGGUCGGACAUCAGGAGGUUAGUGCAAUGGCAUAAGCCAGCUUGACUGCGAGCGUGACGGCGCGAGCAGGUGCGAAAGCAGGUCAUAGUGAUCCGGUGGUUCUGAAUGGAAGGGCCAUCGCUCAACGGAUAAAAGGUACUCCGGGGAUAACAGGCUGAUACCGCCCAAGAGUUCAUAUCGACGGCGGUGUUUGGCACCUCGAUGUCGGCUCAUCACAUCCUGGGGCUGAAGUAGGUCCCAAGGGUAUGGCUGUUCGCCAUUUAAAGUGGUACGCGAGCUGGGUUUAGAACGUCGUGAGACAGUUCGGUCCCUAUCUGCCGUGGGCGCUGGAGAACUGAGGGGGGCUGCUCCUAGUACGAGAGGACCGGAGUGGACGCAUCACUGGUGUUCGGGUUGUCAUGCCAAUGGCACUGCCCGGUAGCUAAAUGCGGAAGAGAUAAGUGCUGAAAGCAUCUAAGCACGAAACUUGCCCCGAGAUGAGUUCUCCCUGAGAUUUAGAGUCUCCUGAAGGAACGUUGAAGACGACGACGUUGAUAGGCCGGGUGUGUAAGCGCAGCGAUGCGUUGAGCUAACCGGUACUAAUGAACCGUGAGGCUUAACCUUACAACGCCGAAG